rnacentral:rRNA from 1 species
GUGAACCUACGGGACGCAGCAGUGAGGAAUAUUGGUCAAUGGGCGGGAGCCUGAACCAGCCACGUCGCGUGAGGGAAGACGGUCCUAUGGAUUGUAAACCUCUUUAGGCGGGGAGCAAUGCCGGGCACGCGUGCCCGGAGGGAGAGUACCCGCAGAAUAAGCAUCGGCUAACUCCGUGCCAGCAACCGCGGUAAUACGGAGGAUGCGAGCGUUAUCCGGUUUUAUUGGGUUUAAAGGGUGCGUAGGCGGAUUUUUAAGUCAGCGGUAAAAUGUCCGGGCUCAACC